AGUUUGGGAGUGUUCCUUCCUCUGCAAUUAUUUUGGAAGAGUUGGAGAAGGCCCUGAAGACAACGUAAAGAGCUAACUCUUUUUCACAUCCUGAAAGGAGAAACCAGAAGCCAGGCUGAUUUGGGGCCACUGGGUGUGGACACAGGUGGUCACAGUCUGGAAUGAGGUCAAGGUCUAGCAGAAGCUGAAGGAGCAGAGGAGGAAAAGGUGAGCACCUAAAGCGAAUCCAACACUCAACUUUCAAGUGGAAGAGAAUGGAUAGGAAUUUUUAUGUCCCAAAGUGCCUAGAAAGGGUUUAAUCACAGAACUACCACACAUCUAUUGUUCACCUGCCACAUUCCCAGUAUGGAGCUAAAGCACCAAGAGAGGCAAAAUUAUAAGACAUAAUUUAUCAAUACGUUAAGGAAUAUAUAAUCUACUUGAAGUCAAUCAUGAAGAGGAGAGUGAUGUCAUCAAGAUGGUCACAUAGAUCAUUCCCAACUUCAGUCUCCCUCACAAGAAGACCACCUAGCAACUAUGCAUAGAAAAGACUCCACUGUGAAGAUGUUAGAACCUGAGGGUAAGGCUGAAGCACCCUGCUGGACAACAGAGACUGAGAAGGAGCACAUUAGAAGGGUGAGAGGACUGGAUAUACCCUGACCACAUCACCCUCCUCCCUGUGGGGAGAAGUGGGAAUAUGGAUUCCAUAAUGGGAAAAGAGAGCCCGAGGUGGACAACCAGCAUAUGGGACACUUCCAGGAGGCCCACUCGGGUCUUGCCUCAUGGAGAUCAUCAGAGGAAUCUGCUGGGCUUGACUACUGGGGAUCAGAGAGAGGUGGAGAAGGGGGGCAGAGCUUACAGCAAAAAGUGCUCAGGCUCUGGAAAACGGCAUUCCAUAUCAGUGCCUGAGCAAAGAUCCCAGCCAGCAACUCUGGCCAUCUGCAGAGCUGAGCCAGUGGCCCCUUCUGGCUAGGGAGCUCAGUUGGUAGUUCUACCUGAUUUGGACCCACAAUCAAUGGGCCAGACUGGAAAUGGAGCCUGUUCUACCAUCCAGCCCAUGAAGGCAAGCAAAUACUCAGCCUCGCCCAAGUGCUGAGCAUAGCCUCCAGUCUCUCCUUCCAGGAAGCCUGGCCAGGGAACUAGAGCAGCCACAAGCCCAUCGUAUAGCCCCACUUGGUCAGGCAGCCAAACCAGCAGCCCUGCCCAACUGGUGAGAAUAGCCACUGGCCCUGCAAAACCAGAGAGCUGGAACAGUGACCCUGGGUGACAAGGGAACCCAGCCUAUGGGACUGCUAGAGAGGGAGAGCCCACCCUACAAUCCCACUCAGCCAUGGAUCCCAGCCUUACAACCCUGAUAAGCAGAGGAGCCCAGUCUACGGCCCUGCCCAAUUGCUGAACACAGUCUGCGGCCUUGCCCAGGCAGGAAGCCCAGCCAGUAAUCCUGCCCAACCAAGAAGCAUAGCCUGUGGUCCCACCCAACAAGGAAGCUCAGCCCAGCAGCAGAGCACAGUC